GUUUCCGCGGCUCGCUAGAAGGAGUGUGGUCCACCGGAGGACUCCCUACAUUCUUCCUCCAUUACCUCACUGCCUCCGGUGGCUGCUGGGAUACCGGAGGACUCGGGUCCCGGCUCGACUCAGUCCUCCAGCCGCCCGGGGAAUACCUCUAGUUCUUCCCGGCCGCCGCCGCCGCCGCCGCCCCGCCGCUUCCUCCUCCGCCUGCCGGCCUCCUUCGCCCCGUCCCGUCCGCGCAGCGCGUCCGGCCCGCCCGCAGGCCAGCUUCUCUCGGGAGCCCCCACCCAGGCGCAUGGCUCCAUGAAGCAAGAGGAGGAGGCAGAGCGCGAGAGGUCCCGUCCGCCCCAGCCGCGUCUGGGCCAGGAUAAAAGCAAAACCAUAUUCCUGCUGCUGUCAGUUAUGAUGCACUGAGAAAACUUCAGAGACCUAAACUUUUUCCAGAGAAGAGAAGCUUUACUGGUGUUCCAGCCCUAAGAAACUUAAAUCCUCAGUGUGACACAACUCAGUCCUUCUACUGCAGCAGCUCUUUUAUAAAAGCCUCCCAAAGCUCCAAGAAGGAACAAAGAAUGUGACCCAGUAAGCUCACACCAUAAAUCUAUAUUGCAGAAACCUUUGUUCAAGAAAACGGCAGAUGCUCUGUUGAAUCCACUGGAGAUUGUUCUGAUACUAAGGACAAGUAUCAACCAUCUUUCCUGUGAAAAAUUCCCUCUCGUACUUUAGUUCUGUGGAUCCAAAAUUUAUAGCAUUCUUCUACCACCACAGGGGCUCAUAUGACAUUAACAGACAAGACACUUUUCAGAAAGACAGGCAACGUGUUGGACCUUCCGGAGCUUCUCAGAAGACAGAGGGUUUUCUUUUGAGGAUUUAAACCUCAGACACAGGGAGCUGACCUAUUCACCUUAGAAUCCUCUGGGGCACCCAUUACAGUGUCUGUACCAAGGAGGCAACAAAGAACGGCGGAACAGACUGGAGCAGAAGGACCACCCAGCAGAGCCAAGCCAAAUCACUGACCCUCAGAGGCCUGAUGUGAAUGCUUAUGGCUUCAGUCCAUUGGAUUCUGCAGUAAUCUGCCGAUCUACAGUAUUACCACAGUAAAUAACCGAUAGACCUGAAAACGAAUGCAUGCCUUGUGCCAAAAUUGCAGGAAACCUCACCAGGAGAAACAAUUUUAUAUGAGGGAAUGUACUCUCUCCUUUGCAUUUUCCCUCAAAUCUAUAUUUUUAG
rnacentral:lncRNA from 1 species